UUAGUAUUUCCAUUUGAACUGGUUAGUAACAUUUGCAGAAAUGGGCAACCGGAUCCUUUACAUAAUCAUGAAAUCUGUUCGUAAACAAACAACAGACUUUGUUGAACAUUUCGCGUUAGCAUACCCUUAAUUAUUUAAUGAAAUAGUUUGAAAUAUUCCUGUAUGUGCAUCAGCAUUAGUCAAUUUUAAUUAAAGAAUGGUAAUUGUUAAAACUGGAGGUGAGUUUUAUCAUUGAAUAGCUUUUUCUGGAGUCCUUAAACAUGGCAAGGAUACCAGUAAUGAGUGUACCAGCAUCCAUUAAUAAUCCUGUUGCUGUUAUGAAUACCUACCGCUCUUAUGUAUCAAUGCUCAAAGAUCCUGUUGCAAAGGAUGAAAGUAAAUUAAAAGCUUUACAAGAAUAAAGUGGAGAGCUUGAAACUAUUGUUAGUAAUCCACAAUAUCCUUCAUUUUUGGAUCAGGCUAUAAAAAUUUUUAUCAGAAUUUUAGGAGAUGGAGAACCAGAAUUUCAGAAAAAAACACCCAUGCCUCUUGCUUAUAGUACUUUAGCUGAUCUUGUUCAUCAUAUGAGACAAUAUUUAUAGUUGAUGGAUCUGACUAAGGCUGUAAAUGUGUUCUCAAAAAAUGUUCAUGAUGAAUCUUUAGUAACUGCAAUUCAAACAAUGUCUUGUAAGUUUAUUCUGAAUUUAGUUGAAUGCAGUAGAAUAAGAUCUGAUCGAGAAAAUGGCAAUUUUCAGGCAAAAUUUGGUUUUCCUGCUUCUGAGGCAGCUAAUUAUUUGACUAUAGUAUGUUCAUCGAAAACAGUUACUUGGAGAAUUACGGCUUGCAAGUUUUCUGGUGAUUCAAACACUAAACCAAGUAAGCAGUACCAACCUAAUUAAACUUAUUAGAUUGAUCAAGUAUGCUCAACCAACUUUGGCUAUUUAUAAGUUAACAUUCCCUACUCCUGGACAAACACUAAUCCAAGUAAGCAGUACCAACCUAAUGAAACUUAUUAGAUUGAUCAAGUAUGCUCAACCAACUUUGGAUAUUUAUAAGUUAACAGUCCCUACUCCUGGACAAGUUGUUCAGCAGCGACCAAUGAACAUACAAACUGUUCGCUCCAAGGAAGAAAUGAAAGUUUUAGAACAUCUUGUUUGAGUGAUUCUAGCAAAUUCUUUUCUUGCCACCUCCCACAUAUUUGCAACAAUGCCACCUCCCACAUAUUUGCAACAAUGCUGGUAGAAUAUCUUCUAAAAAGGAUGGAAGAAAUGGAUCCCUAUUUACAUCAAAUAGUAAAUAGAUCCAUGGAGCUAGCUUUAAGUGCUAAAGAACCAUAUAAUUAUUUCCUUCUUUGUAGAGCCUUGUUUCGGUCUAUAGGAGGUGGUAGUCAUGAUUUGUUGUAUCAAUAAUUCUUACAUUUAUUACCAAAUUUAUUGCAAGCCUCUUAGUCGGGAGUAAGAUCACAUUAAAAGACCCAUGAAUGCUUUUAUGAUAUUCAGCAAACGCCAUCAAGCUCUUGUUCACCAACGUCAUCCAAAUCAAGAUAAUCGAACAGUGAGCAAAAUCUUAGGGGAAUGGUGGUACGCAUUAGAGCCGGAACGAAAGCAGAAAUAUCAUGAUCUGGCAUAUGAGGUUAAGGAGGCUCAUUUCAAGGCAUAUCCUAACUGGAAAUGGUGUAGUCCGGACCGUAAAAAGUCUAGCAUCAGCUCCACCCCCAAAGAUAGCCCAAAACCUCUUGGCAAUGAUGAACCUCUUACACCAUCGUUAACUUCAACUGAAAAAGUAUCUGCGUCAGAUGAUUUUUUGCUACCUUUUAGUGUUCCUGCACUAGCCAAGAAAGCUGAAGAUCCAACUAUCAAGUCAAACAAAUACUUUAAUUUUGAGAAGCAGCCCAGAUCUCGCUCUCUAUCACAGCUGCCUGAUCCCUGGCAUGCCAGUCUGUUGACGAAUUCUUUUGAUUGAAGCAGCUCUGAAAAAAAGGUUUCAGAUGAUUUAAGACAGGACAGUGCUGAUAUUUCUGGUUUUGCUGAGAAGUCUAAAAAAAGAAGAGAGAUGGAUAAUUUGCGAGGGGAUUCUGACACCACCAGUGAUGAUGAAAGAAUGGUGAUAUGUGAGGAAGAGGUAGAUAAUGUUUCAGAUAAAUCACGUUUAUGCACUGAAGAACCACCCAUCGACUUGAAGUGCAAAGAGAAGGUCACAGAAAGCGAUACGGAAAGCCAGUCUGAUGAAGAAUCCUUGUUAGAAAACAAGGCAUUCCCUCAUCAGAGAUUCUCACCGGUCAUGAAGCAUCAUCCGUCUGUCGAAGUCACCCACCGCCCGAAGCCUAUAAAAGCACACCCUUGUUCCAACUCCCAAACUUCAUUUUCCACCAGCAAUGAAAAUAGUAGUUCUCCUAGUAGUGCUGUCGGCAGAACUUUCCUCAGGCCUUUGCCGACUGGAUCCUGCUUUCAACCUACGGGUGCAGUCUUCAAAGAUGUCCACUCUCCUAAAGUGCCUUCACUUUGUUCGAUAGAGUAUCGGACUCUCCCGACAUGCCCAUUCUCGUCUCAAAGAUACCGCCUAUGCUUGAAGCUGUAAACAGUGAGCAGUUCUCCCUGUCUAAUCAAAAACUAGUUACUUUUGAAGAAUCUCAUAAUUAUGGUGGGGAUGGCGCUAAAAGUAAGACACAAAAAACUGUUCAGUAGCUCUGUCAUGGCAGUAAUUUGCCUCCGCCUCUUUCGAUCCCCUCCAUCAAUCUCACUCAAACGCAUGCCAAAAAUAUUUCUCCUCAAGUACCGGCAGCAUUUGCAGGCUCUUCAAGUCCCUGUUCGGAACGACAAGUCCAAAUUGCAACUGUCCGCUUCCCUUAUCCAGACAUCGCAAGGCUUCUUGGUGUCCAACAGUGCCCUCGGAGCCACUCAUUACAGCAUGACAAUCCUCAAUCCAUCCACGUCUAAAACUUCACCGUGCGUCUCCCCGGCUCAAACUUCUCCCAAGAUUUUAACCUCCACCCUGAAAAACUUGGUCAUUCCAGUUUCCAAACACAAUGGCAUACCCUCUUCUCCCCAGACCAUGUCUGUUUCUCAAAUAACUCCUACGGUUUUAGCAAAUCUCGUCCUGAAAGCAAAUUCCCAAGUACCUGCUCAAAGUGUGAUGUCCAACCUGACAUCUCCGGGUCAGUUUCAUCUGUCUCCUCAAUUGAUAUCAAGGUCUGGGGCAACUCAAGUGCAGUAUCUGUUGCCAUCACUUACUUUACAAUCACCUACUUUAAAAGUUCAUUUUUUAGGAUGGUUUUCAAGGAGGCUUUGAAACUUCACUGGUGUUGUCAAGUGACCAUUUAUUUUUUCAGCUUUUAAUAUGUAUGUACAAGUCCUAAUAUAAAACAAUAAAUUUUUAAGUGUUUUGCCACAAAGUUCCCAAUUUGUAUUUUGAUUUAUGAUUUUACCUUUAAGAAGGAAAGUAAUUUUUGAAGUAUUUUUUAUUAAGAAAAAAUAAGGCUUAUAUGCAAUUAUAAAAAAAGUGUUUCAAUCAGAUUUAGUCCCCAGUAAAAUGUUGUCAUUAUACAUCCUUGGUAUUUUUGCGUUUUCUUUUGAAUUUCACUUUAAAUUUUGUUAGUGGUAAAUUUAUAUCCAAUUAAAGUUUUUUGUUUCUUA